rnacentral:rRNA from 1 species
GACGAACGCUGGCGGCGCGCUUAACACAUGCAAGUCGAACGGAAAGGCCUGCUUUCCCUUGUGGAUUGCGGGUACUCGAGUGGCGAACGGGUGAGUAACACGUGAGUGAUCUGCCCCCAACUUGGGUAUAAGCCUGGGAAACUGGGUCUAAUUCCCGAUAGGACUGCAGGGUGGUGCCUGUGGUGGAAAACGAUUUUCUAGUGGUUGGGGAUGAGCUCGCGGCCUAUCAGCUUGUUGGUGGGGUAAUGGCCUACCAAGGCGGCGACGGGUAGCCGGCCUGAGAGGGUGGACGGCCACAUUGGGACUGAGAUCCGGCCCAGACUACUACGGGAGGCAGCAGUGGGGAAUAAUGCACAAUGGGCGGAAGCCUGAUGCAGCGACGCCGCGUGGGGGAUGACGGCCUUCGGGUUGUAAACUCCUUUCGACCGCGAGGAAGCCACCUGGUUGGAAGGGUGGUGACGGUAGUGGUAGAAGAAGCACCGGCUAACUACGUG